rnacentral:rRNA from 1 species
GAACGGGUGAGUAACACGUGAGUAACCUGCCCUUAACUCUGGGAUAAGCCUGGGAAACUGGGUCUAAUACCGGAUAUGACUCCUCAUCGCAUGGUGGGGGGUGGAAAGCUUUUUGUGGUUUUGGAUGGACUCGCGGCCUAUCAGCUUGUUGGUGAGGUAAUGGCUCACCAAGGCGACGACGGGUAGCCGGCCUGAGAGGGUGACCGGCCACACUGGGACUGAGACACGGCCCAGACUCCUACGGGAGGCAGCAGUGGGGAAUAUUGCACAAUGGGCGCAAGCCUGAUGCAGCGACGCCGCGUGAGGGAUGACGGCCUUCGGGUUGUAAACCUCUUUCAGUAGGGAAGAAGCGAAAGUGACGGUACCUGCAGAAGAAGCGCCGGCUAACUACGUGCCAGCAGCCGCGGUAAUACGUAGGGCGCAAGCGUUAUCCGGAAUUAUUGGGCGUAAAGAGCUCGUAGGCGGUUUGUCGCGUCUGCCGUGAAAGUCCGGGGCUCAACUCCGGAUCUGCGGUGGGUACGGGCAGACUAGAGUGAUGUAGGGGAGACUGGAAUUCCUGGUGUAGCGGUGAAAUGCGCAGAUAUCAGGAGGAACACCGAUGGCGAAGGCAGGUCUCUGGGCAUUAACUGACGCUGAGGAGCGAAAGCAUGGGGAGCGAACAGGAUUAGAUACCCUGGUAGUCCAUGCCGUAAACGUUGGGCACUAGGUGUGGGGGACAUUCCACGUUUUCCGCGCCGUAGCUAACGCAUUAAGUGCCCCGCCUGGGGAGUACGGCCGCAAGGCUAAAACUCAAAGGAAUU